GAUGAACGCUGGCGGCGUGCUUAACACAUGCAAGUCGAACGGAAAGGCCCAAGCUUGCUUGGGUACUCGAGUGGCGAACGGGUGAGUAACACGUGGGUGAUCUGCCCUGCACUUCGGGAUAAGCCUGGGAAACUGGGUCUAAUACCGGAUAGGACCACGUCUUGGAUGUUGUGGUGGAAAGUUUUUUCGGUGUGGGAUGAGCUCGCGGCCUAUCAGCUUGUUGGUGGGGUAAUGGCCUACCAAGGCGUCGACGGGUAGCCGGCCUGAGAGGGUGUACGGCCACAUUGGGACUGGGAUACGGCCCAGACUCCUACGGGAGGCAGCAGUGGGGAAUAUUGCACAAUGGGGGCAAGCCUGAUGCAGCGACGCUGCGUGGGGGAUGACGGCCUUCGGGUUGUAAACUCCUUUCGCUAGGGACGAAGCGUUUUUGUGACGGUACCUGGAGAAGAAGCACCGGCUAACUACGUG
rnacentral:rRNA from 1 species